rnacentral:rRNA from 1 species
GAUAAACGCUGGCGGCGUGCCUAACACAUGCAAGUCGAACGCGCUCAGCAAUGAGCGAGUGGCGGACGGGUGAGUAGCACGUGGGCAACCUACCUUUCGGUGAGGAAUACCGGCGAGAAAUCGCCGACAAUACCGCAUAGCCUUGGCAGCAAGGAAAGUCGCAAGACGCCGGAGGAGGAGCCUGCGCCCGAUUAGCUAGUUGGUGGGGUAAGAGCCUACCAAGGCGACGAUCGGUAGCUGGUCUGAGAGGAUGAUCAGCCACACUGGGAUUGAGAACGGCCCAGACUCCGUACGGGG